AGUGACGGUAUUUAACCAGAAAGCCACGGCUAACUACGUGCCAGCAGCCGCGGUAAUACGUAGGUGGCAAGCGUUAUCCGGAUUUAUUGGGCGUAAAGCGAGCGCAGGCGGUCUUUUAAGUCUAAUGUGAAAGCCUUCGGCUCAACCGAAGAAGUGCAUUGGAAACUGGGAGACUUGAGUGCAGAAGAGGACAGUGGAACUCCAUGUGUAGCGGUGAAAUGCGUAGAUAUAUGGAAGAACACCAGUGGCGAAGGCGGCUGUCUGGUCUGUAACUGACGCUGAGGCUCGAAAGCAUGGGUAGCGAACAGGAUUAGAUACCCUGGUAGUCCAUGCCGUAAACGAUGAUUACUAAGUGUUGGAGGGUUUCCGCCCUUCAGUGCUGCAGCUAACGCAUUAAGUAAUCCGCCUGGGGAGUACGACCGCAAGGUUGAAACUCAAAAGAAUUGACGGGGGCCCGCACAAGCGGUGGAGCAUGUGGUUUAAUUCGAAGCUACGCGAAGAACCUUACCAGGUCUUGACAUCUUCUGCCAACCUAAGAGAUUAGGCGUUCCCUUCGGGGACAGAAUGACAGGUGGUGCAUGGUUGUCGUCAGCUCGUGUCGUGAGAUGUUGGGUUAAGUCCCGCAACGAGCGCAACCCUUAUUACUAGUUGCCAGCAUUCAGUUGGGCACUCUAGUGAGACUGCCGGUGACAAACCGGAGGAAGGUGGGGACGACGUCAAAUCAUCAUGCCCCUUAUGACCUGGGCUACACACGUGCUACAAUGGAUGGUACAACGAGUCGCGAAACCGCGAGGUUUAGCUAAUCUCUUAAAACCAUUCUCAGUUCGGACUGUAGGCUGCAACUCGCCUACACGAAGUCGGAAUCGCUAGUAAUCGCGGAUCAGCAUGCCGCGGUGAAUACGUUCCCGGGCCUUGUACACACCGCCCGUCACACCAUGAGAGUUUGUAACACCCAAAGCCGGUGGGGUAACCUUUUAGGAGCUAGCCGUCUAA
rnacentral:rRNA from 1 species